rnacentral:rRNA from 1 species
AAUCAACGCUGGCGGCGUGCCUAACACAUGCAAGUCGAACGCGAAAGUGGAGCAAUCCAUGAGUAGAGUGGCAAACGGGUGAGUAACACGUGGGUGACCUGCCUUCGAGCGGGGGAUAAC